UGCUAGCGAGAGAUCAAAUGGGGCCUAAAAAUGCAAUAUUGUCGCCACAGCCCCAACACGCCAACAGCCAGCUGCUCAGGCUGCUCAGCACCACACUCCCGCGGUGCCGCCGUCCGGCGUUAUCCCGAAUCCAAACCCCUCCCUCACAGGCUCCCUCUCAGCGAUAGCGGCAUCCGAGCCCUCCUGCGCGCCCACUAGGGUUUAUCUCAAGCGAGGCCGCGCCAACCGCCAAUGGCGCUCGCGCGCCCGUCCUCCGCUCUCCUCUCAUGCUCCUCGUCCGCCUGCCUCCGCCGGCUCAACCCGCUCCUCCUCUCUGCCGCCGCCUGCCGCCGCCCGGCGUGGGCCCCGCGCCGCGUCGCCCGCAGGUUCUCCGCAGCGAUUGCCUCCGAGACGGAUGUGUUCAACUCCCCGGAGGUCGCUAAGUCGUUCGACUUCACCAACGAGGAGAAAAUUUACAAAUGGUGGGAAUCUCAAGGAUUCUUUAAGCCUAACUUUGACCGUGGAGGAGAUCCAUUUGUCAUCCCGAUGCCACCACCAAAUGUUACCGGAUCACUGCAUAUGGGCCAUGCUAUGUUUGUCACACUUGAGGAUAUAAUGGUUAGAUAUUUCCGAAUGAAAGGGAGACCUGCGCUGUGGAUACCUGGCACUGACCAUGCUGGGAUUGCGACUCAGUUGGUUGUGGAAAAGAUGCUGGCCGCUGAAGGUGUCAAGAGGACAGAUAUGACGCGAGAGGAGUUCACCAAAAAAGUUUGGGAGUGGAAAGAGAAAUAUGGGGGUACUAUCACUAAUCAGAUUAAGCGAUUGGGUGCAUCUUGUGAUUGGAGUCGUGAGCGUUUCACUCUUGAUGAACAAUUGAGCCGUGCAGUUGCUGAAGCAUUCGUUAGGCUUCAUGAUAAAGGGCUUAUAUAUCAAGGAUCUUAUUUGGUCAACUGGUCUCCUAACCUGCAAACUGCAGUAUCUGAUUUAGAAGUAGAAUACUCUGAAGAACCUGGAAAUUUGUACUUCAUCAAGUACCGUGUUGCUGGCGGAACCAGGGAUGAUUUUAUGACUAUCGCAACCACAAGACCUGAAACAAUAUUUGGUGAUGUUGCAAUUGCUGUUAAUCCGGAGGAUAAGCGUUAUGCACAAUAUGUUGGCAAAUUGGCUAUUGUACCGUUGACAUGUGGGAGACAUGUCCCUAUUAUUGCUGAUCGGUAUGUUGAUCCAGAAUUUGGAACUGGGGUGCUGAAGAUUAGCCCUGGACAUGAUCAUAACGAUUAUCAUAUUGCUCGAAAGCUUGGACUGCCAAUUCUUAAUGUUAUGAACAAAGAUGGUACGCUCAAUGAUGUUGCUGGAAUAUACAGUGGUAUGGAUCGAUUUGAAGCCCGAGAGAAAUUGUGGUCUGACCUUGUUGAGACUAACUUAGCAGUAAAGAAAGAACCAUAUACACUUCGAGUCCCUAGGUCCCAACGGGGUGGUGAAGUUAUUGAGCCUUUGAUUAGUAAGCAAUGGUUUGUUACGAUGGAGCCAUUGGCUGAAAAGGCUCUCCAUGCUGUUGAAAAGGGGCAAUUAACCAUUCUUCCGGAGAGAUUUGAGAAGAUUUAUAAUCAUUGGCUAACGAACAUAAAGGAUUGGUGUAUAAGUAGACAAUUGUGGUGGGGUCAUCGUAUACCAGUUUGGUAUAUUGUUGGAAAGAAAUGUGAAGAAGACUAUAUUGUUGCUAGAACCGAAGAGGAGGCGAUUGCAGAAGCUCAUGAAAAAUAUGGAAAAUCAGUUGAAAUAUAUCAAGACCCUGAUGUUCUUGAUACUUGGUUCUCAAGUGCUCUGUGGCCUUUCAGCACGCUUGGUUGGCCUGAUCUUUCCAAGGAGGAUUAUAAGCAUUUUUAUCCUUCAACUGUUCUGGAGACAGGCCACGAUAUUUUGUUCUUCUGGGUUGCACGAAUGGUCAUGAUGGGAAUUGAGUUCACAGGAUCAGUACCAUUUUCUUAUGUCUAUCUACAUGGUCUUAUCCGGGAUGCUGAGGGUCGAAAAAUGUCGAAGACAUUAGGGAAUGUCAUUGAUCCCCUAGAUACCAUCAAAGAGUACGGGACAGAUGCUUUGAGAUUUACACUAUCUUUGGGCACUGCAGGCCAGGACCUCAAUCUCUCUACAGAAAGGUUGACGUCAAAUAAGGCUUUCACAAACAAGCUGUGGAACGCAGGGAAAUUUUUGUUACAGAACUUGCCUGAUAAAAAUGAUGUCUCUGCAUGGGAUGUCUUGUUGUCUAAUAAGUUCGACUCAGAAGCAUCACUCCAGAAACUGCCAUUGCCAGAAUGCUGGGUGGUUACAGGACUACAUGAACUCAUCGAUAAGGUCAGCAGAAGCUAUGAUAAGUUUUUCUUCGGAGAUGCUGCUAGAGAAAUAUAUGAUUACUUCUGGGGGGAUUUUGCUGAUUGGUAUAUUGAAGCUAGCAAAACACGGCUUUACCACUCGAGUGACAAGAUCGCUGCUGCUACAGCCCAGAGUGUUCUGGUGUAUGUGUUUGAAAACAUACUGAAGUUAUUGCAUCCCUUCAUGCCAUUCGUCACUGAAGAAUUAUGGCAGGCAUUUCCAUACAGAAAACAAGCACUUAUGGUUACUCCCUGGCCUACCACUGACCUUCCUAAAGAUUUGAGGUCCAUCAAACGGUUCCAGAAUUUGCAAUCAUUGAUAAGAGGAAUCAGAAAUGUUCGAGCAGAAUAUUCUGUUGAGCCAGCUAAACGGAUAUCAGCUUCUGUUGUUGCUACUGCGGAUGUCCUGGAAUACGUAUCAGUAAGUGUGCAGAUCCAUUUUGUUAGUGACACUUUUUUUCUCGAAUGCGCAGGAGAACUGCGCAUCUUAUAUAAAAGAGAGGAAGAAAAGCCAUACAAAAGAUGGCAUCUUGCUGAGCAAGUUCCCCAAGGAUCCUACACACAACCGUAGGACAUUACAAACCGGAACCAAGACUUGACCCUACCUCGCUAAGAGCUGCAACUAAGCCUAGGUGCUUUAGCUCUUCAGCUCCUGCCAUAGCCCAGCUAGUACAUUCAUCCAGGAACCUUCGAAGAAUUCUAGAUAAUGAGGGGGACUCCCCUUCAAACACUGUUCUGUUUCUCUGGAUCCAUAGACACCAAGCUCCCAGGAGGCCAGGAUGAUCAAGGAGUUAAGCCCCUUUUUCAUGUUCUUGGAAACCCUGAGGCUCAUUCUUCUCCACCAUUCUGCAAAAGACUCCUCGUCAGCUGUAGGAGUGAGGUGUCCCAAGCCAAGAGCAGAAAGAAUUUUGUGCCAAAAUCGCCGAGCAAAGAUGCAAGCAGAAAGAAGGUGCUGAAUUGUCUCCUGGGCUUGAUCACACAUGGGGCAAACAUCCGGAGGGAGAAGCAGGUCCUAGCAUUACUUUCAAAGCUUGACGUUCAGAACGUACAUUUUACUGAAUCAGCACCAGGCGAUGCAAACCAGUCGGUUCACAUUGUUGCUGAUGAGGGUUUGGAGGCGUAUCUACCUUUGGCUGAUAUGGUUGACGUGUCUGAAGAGGUUAAGCGGCUCUCCAAGCGCCUCUCCAAGAUGCAGUCGGAGUAUGAUGCUCUUGUUGCCCGACUCAAUUCCCCAAGUUUUGUUGAAAAGGCCCCUGAAGAUAUUGUUCGCGGAGUUCGUGAAAAAGCGUCUGAGGCAGACGAGAAGAUCUCUCUAACUAAAAAUCGUCUCACUUUUCUGCAAUCAACCAUUACCACUUAAAUACAGUAAUCCACGGGGACUCUACCAGGAUGCCAUUUUGAUCGAUGACGCAGGACAAAACUGAUUGUUAAUAGUUUUUGGUUGAAGGAUAUGAUAGAUUGGCAACGAAGUUGUGCCUUGUCCAGCAGAAACACACAUUCUUUCUAGUUCAUAUCUGUUGUCUCUUGAAACUUAAAACAUACAUUCGGCUAGGCAUAUAAUUUAUAUUCCUGACUUAUGGUUUUAGAGCCUUUCGGGAUGCCCUUAGUUGAGGUAAAUUUUGUUCUGCCUCUGAAGUUUUGCUGAUGCCAUUGUUAGUAAUAUUCAUAUUUUGUAAGGUGGGCGCACGUUAUUAGAUAUGAAUGAUCUGUAA